UACAGAGGGUGCGAGCGUUAAUCGGAAUUACUGGGCGUAAAGCGCACGUAGGCGGCUUGGUAUGUCGGGUGUGAAAUCCCCGGGCUCAACCUGGGAACUGCAUCCGAAACUGCCUUGCUCGAGUAUGGGAGAGGGAAGUGGAAUUUCCGGUGUAGCGGUGAAAUGCGUAGAUAUCUGGAGGAACACCGAUGGCGAAGGGCAGCCCCCUGGGCUAGCCACGUGACGCUCAGGCACGAAAGC
rnacentral:rRNA from 1 species